GGGAAGGUAGCUCAGUGGUAGAGUGCUUGCCUUGCAUGUGUGAGGCCCUGGGUUCGAUUCCCCAGCACCA
rnacentral:tRNA from 1 species